rnacentral:rRNA from 1 species
CAGUCGCCGCGGUAAUACAGAGGGUGCGAGCGUUAAUCGGAUUUACUGGGCGUAAAGCGUGCGUAGGCGGCUUCUUAAGUCGGAUGUGAAAUCCCUGAGCUUAACUUAGGAAUUGCAUUCGAUACUGGGAAGCUAGAGUAUGGGAGAGGAUGGUAGAAUUCCAGGUGUAGCGGUGAAAUGCGUAGAGAUCUGGAGGAAUACCGAUGGCGAAGGCAGCCAUCUGGCCUAAUACUGACGCUGAGGUACGAAAGCAUGGGGAGCAAACAGGAUUAGAUACCCCCGUAGUUCCUGUCUCUUAUAC